GCAAGUUCACAAGCAUCACAAACUUACACUAAUUCGCAUUGUCUAAAUAAAAUAGGAUAUAACCUUUCUAAGGUUGAAAAACAAGCAUGUUCUAAUUUCCUAUGCCAUUGAAUGAUCUCUUGAUCAGCUCUUAUUGAAUUUCCUACCAAAGCUUUAGGGUUUGAGAAACCAUUACUAUCAUUUAGCAAAUACAAGUCAUCUUGCAAUCUACCUCCCUGUUUUCAGUUCCUAAAACACAUAAUGGGAAGGAAUAAAUUUAAUUUUGCAAUUAAAGACUUUAGCAAUUGAGCU
rnacentral:misc_RNA from 1 species